CCCCACAAGGGCACCCACAUGUGUGCCUGUCUGGAACGGGUUGGUUUGAUGUGUCCCCUGCGACAAGAAAACCCACAGCUGCGCAUCCCACAGUUGUGCUUGUAUGGAACAGACUGUAGUGGAGUGUUCCACAUGAUGAGGGACACUGCAAUGGCAUCUAAGCAGGUAUGUCUAUCUGGAAUGGGCUGGAGCAACAUGUUCACCGCCACAAGGGACACUGUGAGAACUUUCACAGGUAUGCCUGUCUGGAACAGGCUGGAGUGGAGUGUUCACUGACAUGAGGGACCCCACAAGGACUUCUACAGGUCUGCCUGUCUGGAAUGGGCUCAAGGGGCAUGUUCCCCAUGACGAUGGACCCCACUCCAGCGUGCAGAGUUGUGCCUGUCUGGAACUGGCUGGAGUGUCGUGUUCCCUUGACGAGGACACCGCUACAGCAUCUACAGGUGUGCCUGUCUGGAACGAGAUGGAGCAGCUUGCUCCCCAUGAUGAGGGACCACACGAUGGCAUUCAGAGGUGUGCCUGUCUGAAAGGGCCUGAAUUGACCUGUUCCCCGUGAUGAGGAACUCCACAAUGUUGUCCUCAGGUGUGCCUGUCUGGAAUGGACUGGAGGGGUGUCUUCCUCACAAAGAAGGACACCACGAUGGUGUCCACAGGUGUACCUGUAUGGAACAGGCUGGAGGGGGUGAGUUCACUGCGACAAGGGACACCACGAUGACAUCCACAGGUGUGCCUGUCUGGAAAGGGCUGGGAGAGGCAUGUUCCCCUCGAAGAGGGGACCCCACGACAGCAUCCACGUGUGCCUGUUUGGCAUGGGAUGGAUCAGCAUGUUCCCCACAAUGAAUAACCCCACAAUGGCAUCCACAGGUGUGCCUGUCUGGAAUGGGCCAGAGUGGUAUCUUCCCAUGACUAGGGACCCUGCAACAACAUCCACACGUUUGCCUGUCUGGAAUGUGCUGGAGGAGAAUGUUCCCCACAAUGUGUGGCCCUGCAAUGGCAUCCACUGGUGUGCCUUUCUGAAAUGGGCUGGCAUGUUGUGUUCCCUGUGAUGAUGGGUCGCGGAUGGUGUCCACAGGUGUGCCUGUAUGGAUUGGGCUGGAGCGGCAUGUUCUUGGCAUCUAGAUCCCCAUGACUUUCUCCCACAGUUGUGCUUGUCUGCAACAGGAGAGACCCCACAAUGAGGGACCCCACAACGGCAUCCACAGGUGUGCCUGUAUGGAAUGGGGUGGAUCAUCAUGUUCCCCUCGACAAGGGACCCCUUGACGGUGUUCACAGUUGUGCCUGUCUGGAAUGGGAUGGAGCGGCAUGUUCCUCAUGACCAUGGGACCCCACGCCAUUGUCCACAGGUGUGCCUGUCUGGAAAUGGCUGGAGUGGCAUGUUCCCUGCAACAAGGUACUCUGGGACAGUGUCCACAGUUUUUCCUGUCUGGUAUGGGGUAGAUCAGCGUGUGUACCCCUUGAUGAGAGGCACCACAAUGGUGUCCAUGGCUGUUCCUUUCUGGAGCAAGCUGAUCAGCUUGUGCACCCUGAUGAGGGACCCUGCAACGGUGUCCACAGUUGUGCCUGUCUGGGAAGGGUGGGAGCAGCAUGUUCCCCCUCGACGAGGGACACCAUCACGGUUUACACAGGUAUGCUUGUCUGGAAUGGUCUGGAGCUACGUGUUCUCAAACGAGUCUCCCCAUGACAGCAUGCAUAGAUGUGCCUGUCUGGCACAAGGGUGAUUGGCAUGUUCCCACAAUUAUGAACCCCGCAACAGCGUCCACAAGUGUGCCUGUCUGGAGUGGCCUGGAGCAGCAUUUUCCCCCGUGACUAGGAAUGCGGCAAUAGUGUCCACAGGUUUCCUUGUCUUGAACGAGCUGGAGGGGAAUGUUACCCACAGGAGCAGCCCCGUGAUGGUGUCUACAGGUGUGCGUGUCUGGAAUGAGCUCGAGCAGCAUGUUCCCCAUGACUUGGAACCCCGUGACGGAAUCCACAGGUGUGUGCCUGUCUGGAGCAGGCUGGAGCAGUGUAUUCCCCACAUUGAGGGACACCAUGACGGCAUACACAGGUGUGCCUGCCUGGAAUGGGAUGGAUUGGUAGGUUCCCCAUAAUGAGGAACCUCAUGAUGGUGUCCACAUGUGUGCCUGUCUGGAAUGGGCUGGAGCAGCAUCUUCCCUGUGACUAGGGACACUGCGACAGUGUCCACAGGUUUGCCUGUCUGGAACGUGCUGGAGGGGAAUGUUCCCCACAAUGAGUGGCCCCGGGACAGCAUCUACACGUGUACCUGUCUGGAAUGGGCUGGAGCAUGGUGUUCUGCGUGACAAUGGACCCCGCGAUGGUGUCCACAAGUGUGCCUGUAUGGAAUGGGCUGGAGUGGCAUGUUCCCUCAACUAGGUCCCCAUGACUUCCUCCACAGUUGUGGUUGUCUGGAAAGGGAUGGUGGAGCCUGUUCACUGCAACAAGGGGUCUCACGGGCGAGGGACCCCAUGAUGGUGUCCACUCUGGAACGGGCUUGAGUGGCAUGUUCCCCAUGACGAGGGACCAUGUCAUGGCAUCCACAAGAGUGCCUGUCUGGAACAGGCUAGAGCACCAUGUUCCCCAUGAUGAGGGACCCUGUGCCAUGGUGCACCUGUGUGCCUGUCUGGAAAGGGCUGGAGCAGUGUGUUCCUUGAAAGGAGGGGGCCUGCACCAGUGUCCACAGGUUUGCCUGUCCAGAAUGGGGUGGAUCGAUGUGUUUUCUGUGAGAAGAGAUGCCACGAUGGCGUCCACAGAUGUGCCUGUCUUUAAUGGGCUGGAUCAGUGUGUUCCCCCUGACGAGGGACCCAGCAAUGUCAUCCUCUAGAGUGCCUGUCUAGAGUGGGCUAGAGAAGUGUUCCCCAUGAUGAGCAACCCUGCAAUGGUGUUCACAAGGGUACCCAUAUGGAAUGGGCUGGAGCGGAAUUUUCUCCACCUCUAGGGUCCCUGUGACUUUGUCCACACAUGUGUCUGUCUGGAAUGGGAUGGUGUGGCCUGUUCCCCACAACAAGUGAAACCGCAACAAUUGACCCUUGCUAUGAGGGACCCUGCCAUGACGCUCCACAGUUGUGGCUGUCUGGGACUGGCUGGAUCGGGGUUUUCACUGCUUUGAGGGACCUUGUGAUGGUGUCCACAUGUGUGCCUUUUUUUAAUUGGCUGGAGUGGCAUGUUGCCCAUGACGAAGGACCACACGAUUGUGUCCACAGGUUUGCCUGUCUGGAAAGGGCUGGUUUGGUAUAUUACCCAUGUCAAUGGACCCUGUGAUGGCAUCCUCAGGUGUGCCUAUCUGGAAUGGUGUGGAUUGGCAUGUUACCCUCGACGAGGGACACCAAGAUGGUGUCCACAUGGUGUGCCCUGUCUCAAAGGGGCUGGAGGGGCAUGUUUCUUGCAAUGAGAAACCCUGCAAUGGCUUCCACAGGUAUGCCUGUCUGGAAUGGACUAGAGGGGAGUGUUUCCCAUGCUGAGCAGCCCCACAAUGGCAUCCACAGGUGUGCCUCUCUGGAAUGAGCUUAGUGGCAUGUUCUACAUGACAAGGGACCUCACAGUGGCGCUCCGUAGGUGUGCUUGUCUGGAAAGGGCUUGAGUGUGGUGUUCCUCAUAAGGAGGGAACCCACAAAUUCAUCCACAAGUGUGCCUGUCCGGAAUGGGCUAGAGCAGCAUGCUCCCCAUGAUGAGGAACCCCACACUGUCGUCCACAGUUGUGCCUGUCUGGAAAGGGGCUAGAGUGGCAUGUUCCUUGCAACAAGGACCCUGUGACAGCAUCCACAGGUUUGCCUGUCUGGAAUGGCUGAAUUGGCAUUUUCCCCAUCAUAAGGGACGCUGUGACAGCAUCCACAGGUGUGCCUGUAUGGAAUGGGCUGGAGCAUUGUGUUCCCUGUGACAAUGGACCCCGCGAUGAUGUCCACAGGUGUGCAUAUCUGGAAUGGUCUGGAGCUUCGUGUUCCCAUGACAAGGGACCCAGCGAUGACAGCAUCCACAGGUGUGCCUGUCUGGAACUGGCUGGAUUGACGUGUUCCCCUAUGACUAAGGACCCUGUGAUGGCAUCCACAGGUUGUGCUUAUAUGGAACAGACUGGAGUGGUGUGUUCUGCAUGACAAGGCAUCCUGCGAUGGCUUUCACAGGUGUGCCUGUGUGGAAUGGGCUGAUGUGGCAUGUUCCCCACCACAGGGCUCCCACAAGGACUUUUCACAGGCAUGCCUGCCAGAAAUGGGCCUAAGCGGUGUGUUCCCCAUGAUGAGGGACCCCGCGAUGGCAUUCACAGAUGUGCCUGUCUGGAAUGGGCUGAGCAUCGUGUUCAACACAAGGACCCCUUGAGGACUUCCACAGGUGUGCCUGUCUGGAAGGGGCUUGAGCGGCAUGUUCCAUGCUACAGAGGACCCCGUUCUGGAGUGCAGAGUUCUACCUAUCUGGAACAGGCUGGAGUGGUGUGUUCCCCAUGUGAGAGACACUGUGAUGGCAUCAACAGAUUUACCUGUCUGUAAUGGGCUGAAUUGGUAUAUUCCAUGCAUCAAGGGAUGCCUUGACAUCCACAAGUGUGCCUGUCUGGAAUGGGCUGGAGCAUUGUGUUCUGCAUGACAAUGGACCCCGCAAUGGUGUCCACAAGUGUGCCUGUAUGGAAUGGGCUGGAGCGGCAUGUUCCCCCAACUAGGUCCCCACGACUUCCUCCACAGUUGUGCUUGUCUGGAAAGGGAUGGUGCAGCCUGUUCUCUGCAACAAGGGGACCCCACGACGAGGGACCCCAUGAUGGCGUCUACAGGUGUGUGUGUCUGAAACAGGCUAGAGCAGCAUGUUCCCUAUGACGAGGGACCCCCACACUGUUGUCCACAGUUGUGCCUGUCUGGAAUGGCUGGAUUGGCAUGUUCCCCAUGAUGAGGGACCCCAGUGACAGCGUCCACAGGUGCGCCUGUCUCAAAUGGGAUGGUAUUGGCAUGUUCCCCAAAAUGAGAGACCCCGUGAGAACUUUCACUGGUGUGUCUGACAGAAACAGGCUUGAGUGUAUUCCCUGGGGUGAUGGACUCCGCAACAGCAUCCAUAACUGUGCCUGUAUGGAAUUAGCUGGAGCAGUGUGUGCCCCAACAUGAGGGACCCCACAAGGAGUUCCACAGAUAUGCCCAUCUGAAACGGGCUCAAGCAGCGUGUUCCAUGUGAUGAGGGACCCCUUUCAGUGUCCAGAGUUGUGCCUGUCUGGAAUGGGCUGGAGUGGUGUGUUCCCUCUUGAGGGAUACCGUGAAGGAGUCAACAGGUUUGCCUGUCUGGAAUGGGCUGGAGUGGCAUGUUCCCUGUGAUGAAGGAACACGUGAUGGUGUCCACAGGUGUCCCUGUCUGGAAUGGGCUGAAUCAGCAUAUUCUGUGCAUCGAGGGACCCCACAACAGCAUCCACAGUUGUGCCUGUCUAGAAUGGGGUUGAUCAUUGUGUUGCCCUCGCCAAGGGACCCUGCAACUUCGUUCACACUUGUGCCUGUCUGGAAAUGGCUGGAGUGGCAUGUUCUCUGCAACAAAGGACACAGGAAUGGUGUCCAUAGUUUUGCCUGUCUGGAAUGGGGUGGAUCAGCGUGUGCCCUUUUGAUGAGAGAUGCCAUGAUGGUGUCCACAGGUGUUCCUGUAUGGAACAGGCUGGAUAGCCUUGUGCACCAUGAUGAGGGACCCCGUGAUUUCAUCCAAGGUGUGCCUGUCUAGAAAGGGCUGGAGCAGCAUGUUCCCCUUGAGGGACACCACGAUGGUUUACAAAGGUUUGCCUGUCUGGAACAUUGUGGAGCUGCGUGUUCCCUCAACUAGGGACCCUGAGAUGGCAUCCACAGGUGUGCCUGUCUGGCACGGUGUGGUUCGGCCUGUUCUCCACAAUGAGGAACCCCCGAUGAUGUCCUCAAGUGUGCCUGUCUGGAAUGGGCUGGAGCGGCAUCUUCCCUGUGACUAGGGACCCCACAAAAGCAUCCACAGUUUUGCCUGUCUUAAACAGGCUGGAGAGGAAUGUUCCCCACAAUGAGCGGCCUCACGAUGGCAUCCAAAGGUGUGCCUGUUUGGAAUGGGCUGGAGCAUUGUGUUCCCUGUUACAAUGGACCUUGCAAUGGUGUCCACAUUUGUGCGUGUCUGGAAUGGUCUGGAGCUUCAUGUUUCCAUGAUGACGGACCCAGCGACAGCAUCCACAGGUGUGCCUGUCUAGAACUGGCUGGAUCGACGUGUUCUGCAUGACAAAGGACCCUGUGAUGACAUCCACAGUUGUGUUUAUAUGGAACAGACCGGAGUGGUAUGUUCUGCAUGAUGAGGGAUCCUGCGAUGGCAUUCACAGGUGUACCUGUGUGGAAUGGGCCUGAUAUGGCAUGUUCCCCACCACAGGGCCCCCACGAGGACUUUCACAGGUUUCCCUGCCAGAAACGGGCCUAAGCGGUGUGUUCCCCAUGAUGAUGGACCCCACGAUGGCGUUCACAGUUGUACCUGUCUGGAAUGGCCUGGAGCGUCAUGUUCUCCAACACAAGGAACCCCGUGAGGAAUUCCACAGGUGUGCCUGUCUGGAACGGGCUCUAGUGGCAUGUGCCCCGCAACAAAGGACCCCACUCUGGCAUGCAGAGUUCUACCUGUCUGGAACAGGCUGGAGUGGUGUGUUCCCCACGUGAGGAACACUGUGAUGGCAUCAACAGUUUUGCCUCUCUGUAAUGGGCUAAGUUGGCAUAUUCCAUGCAUCAAUGGACCCUGCACCAUCAUCCACAGGUGUGCCUGUAUGGAAUGGGGUGGAUCAUCAUGUUCCCCUCGACAAGGGGUCCCCUUGACUGUUCACAGUUGUGCCUGUCUGGAAUGGGGUGGAGCAGCAUGUUCCUCACAACCAGGGACCCCGCGCCAUCAUCCACAGGUGUGCCUGUCUGGAAAUGGCUGGAGUGGCAUGUUCCAUGCAAGAAGGGCCACCACAACAGUGUCCAGAGUUUUGCCUGUCUGGAAUGGGGUGGAUUGGCGUGUUCCCCUUGGACAAGGGACACCACAAUAUUGUCCACUGGUGUUGCUUUCUGGAACAAGCUGGAUCAGCUUGUGCACCACAAUGAGGGAGCCCACAAUGGCUUCCCCAGGUUUUCCUGUCUGGAAAGUCCAGGAGCAGUAUGUUCCCCUUGAUACAGGACACCAUCAUGGUUUACACAGGUAUGCCUGUCUGAAACAGUCUGGGCUGCAUGUUCCCCCGUGAGGUUCCCCGUGACAGCAUCCACAGAUGUGCCUGUCUGGCAAGGGUGGAUUGGCGUGUUCCCCACAGUUAUGAACCCCACAAUGGCAUCCACAAGUAUGCCUGUCUAGAAUGGCCUGGAGCGGCAUCUUCCCCAUGACUAGGGAUGCUGCAACAGUGUCCACAGGUUUCCUUGUCCUGAAUGUGCUGCAGGGGAAUGUUACCCACAAGAGCAGCCCCGCGAUGGCAUCCACAAGUGUGCAUGUCUGGAAUGGGCUGGAUUGAUGUGUUCCCCAUGACAAGGGACCCUGUGCAGUUGUCCAAAUGUGUGCCUGUCUGGAUAUGGCUGGAGUGGCAUGUUCCCUGUGACAAGUGACACUUUGACUGGUGUUCACAGUUUUGCCUGUCUAGAAUGGGGUGGAUCAGCUUGUGCCCUUCGAGUAAUAGAUGCCAUGAUGGGGCCAACAGGUGUUCCUGUCUGGAACAGGCUGGAUCAGCUUGUGCACCUUGAUGAGGGAGCCCAGGAUGGCAUCCACAGGUGUGCCUGUCUGGAACUGGCUGGAUCGACAUGUUCCGCAUGACUGAGGACCCUGUGAUGGCAUCCACAGUUGUGCUUUUUUGACGGAACAGACUGAAGUGUUUUCCGGGUGACAAGGGACCCUGCGAUGGCAUUCACAGGUGUGCCUGUCUGGAAUGGGCUGUUGUGGCCUGUUCCCCAACACAAGGGACUCCCGUGAGGACUUCCACAUGUGUACCUUUCUGGAACAGGCUCACGCAGCAUGUUUCUCAUGAGGAGGGACCCCGUUCUGGCAUCCAGAGUUGUGUCUGUCUGGAACUGGCUGGACUUGCAUGUUCCCUGCGUGAGGGACACCAAGAUGGCAUCAACAGGUUUGACUGGAAUGGGCUGUAGUGACAUGUUCCCUGUGAUGAGGGACCAUGCGAUGUCCACAGGUGUGCCUGUAUGGGACAGGGUGGAUUGUCAUUUUCCACUGGAUGAGGGAUCCCAUGAUGGUGUUCACAGGUGUGCCUGUCUGGAAUGGAAUGGAGCAGCAUAUUCCCCAUGUCCAAGGACCCCGUGCCAUCCUCCACAGGUGUGCCUGUCUGGAAAUGCCUGGAGUGGCAUGUUCCCUGCAACAAGGGCCACCGUGAUGGUGUCCACAGUUUUGCCUGUCUGGAGUGAUGUGGAUUGGCAUGUGUCCCUUGAUGAGAGACACCACGUUGGCGUCCACAGGUGUUCCUGUAUGGAACAGGUUGAAUUGGCUUGUGCACCACGACGAGGGACCCCGCAAUGGCAUCCGCAUGUGUGCCUUUCUGGAAAGGGCCGGAGUGGCAUUUUCCCCUUGACAAGGUACACUGUGAUGGUUUACAAAGGUGUGCCUGUCUGGAAUGGUCUGGAGCUGCUGUUCCCCAGAGGAGGGACCCCGUGAUUGUGUCCACAGUUGUGCCUGUCUGGCAUGGACUGGAUCAGCAUGUUCCCCACAAUGAGGAACCACGCAAAGGCAUCCACAGGUGUGCCUGUCUGGAACGGGCUGAAGUGGCAUCUUCCCUGUGAGUAGGGACCCUGUGACAGCAUCCCCAGGAUUGUCUGUCUGGAAUGUGCUGGGGGUUUAAUGUUCCUCACAACAAGCAGCCCUGUGACAGCAUCCACAAGUGUGCCUGUCUGGAAUGGGCUGGAGUGGUGUGUUUCCUGUGACAACAGACCCCACCAUGGCAUCCACAGGUGGGCCUGCAAGGAAUGGGCUGGAUUGGCAUGUUCCCCCACAACUAUGUCCCCGUGACUUCCUCCACAGUUGUGUUUGUUUGGGAUGAGAUUGUGUGGCCUGUUCCCUGCGAUGAGGGAUCCCAUGAUGUAGGAACCCACAAUGGUGUCCACUAGCUGUGCGUGUCUGGAAUGGGCUAGAGCAUCAUGUUCCCCGUGAUGUGGGACCCUGUCACGGCAUCCACAGGUGUGCCUGUCUGGAACAGGCUAGAGCAGCAUGUUCCCCAUGAUGAGGGACCCUCUGCCAUGCUCCACACAAGUGCCUGUCUGGAAAGGGCUGGAGAGGCAUGUUCCUUGUGAGGAGGGACCCUGGAAUGGCGUCCACAGGUGUGUCUGUCUGAAAUAUCCUGGAGCAGCAUGUUCCCCACAACAGGGGACCUCACGAUGGCAUCCACAGUUGUGCCUGUGUGGAAUGGGCUGGAGCAGCAUGUUUCCUGCAACUAGGGUCCCCGUGACAUCAUGCACAGCUGUGCCUGUCUGGAGUGGGAUGGUGCAGCCUGUUCCCUGUGACAAGGGCCCCCAUGUCAUGGGAUCCUGUGACAGUGUCCACAGGUGUGCCUGUCUGGAAUGGGAUGCAUCGGCAUGUUCCCCAUGAAGAGGAACCCCAAACAGCAUCCACAGGUGUGCCUGUGUGGAACAGGCUGGAGGGGUAUGUUCCCUGCUGUGAGGGACACCGCAACAGUGUCCACAGGUGUGCCUGUCUGUAACUGGCUGGCUCGGCAUUUUCCAUGCAUCAAGGGACCCCGUGAUAGCGUCAAUAGGUGUGCCUGUCUGGAAAGGGAUGGAUUGGCUUUUUCCCAUGAUGAGGAACCACUGAGAGUGUCCACAGGUGUGCCUGCCUGGAAUGGCCUGGAGAGGCAUGUUCCCCACUAUGAAGGAGACUGUGAUGGUGUCCACAUAUGUGCCUGUCUGGAACGGGCUGGAGCACUGUGUUCCCAUGUCUAGGGACCCCGCAAUGGCAUCCACAUGUGUGCCUUUCCCGAAUGGGUUGGAGUAGUGUGUUCCCUGCAAUGAGGGACCCCACUAAAUUGUCCACAGAAUUUGCCUGUCUGGAAUGGGCUGAAGCAGAGUGUUCCCCAUAAGGGACCCUGUGAUGGCAUCCAAAGUUGUACCUGUAUGGAACAGGCUAGAGCAGCAUGUUUCCUACAAUUAGUGUCCCUAUGACUUCAUCCACAUGUGUGCCUGUUUGGAAGGGGAUGGUGUGGCCUGUUCCCCAUGAGGGACCCCACGAUGGCAUCCACAGGUGUGCCUGUCUGGAACAGGCUGGAGCAGCAUGUUCCCCACAAGAGGCCCCACGCUUUCAUAGACAGGUGUGUCUGUCUGGAAAGGGCUAGAGUGGCAUGUUCCCCACAAUUAGGGUCCCCAUGACUUCAUCCAUAGAUGUUCCUGUCUGGAAUGGGAUGGUGCAGCCUGUUUGUGUGAUGAGGGACCCCGCGAUGCCAUCCACAGUUAUGCCUUCCUGGAAUGGGCUGAAGUGCCAUGUUCCCUGUGAAGAGGGACACUGCCACAGUGUGCACAGAUGUGCCUGUCUGGAAUGGGCUGGAGCAGCAUGUUUCUGGGUACUAGGAACCCCACAAUGGCAUGGACAGGUGUGCCUGUUUGAAAAGGGCUGGAGUGGUGUGUUCUCCAGGACGAGGGACCCCAUAAUGGGUUCACAGGUGUGCCUGUCUGGAACGGGCUGGAUCAGCAUGUUCCCCAUGUUGAGAGACACCGCGAUGGCAUCCUCCAGUGUUCCUGCCUGGUAUGAUUUGAAUUGGCAUAUCCCCCAUGACAAGUGACUCCACGAUGGCGUCCUCAGUUGUGCCUGACUGGAAUCGGAUGGAGGGGAGUAUUCCCUGUGAUGAGGGACCCCACAAAGG
ensembl:lncRNA